GUCCCCAUCGUCUAGAGGCCUAGGACAUCGCCCUUUCACGGCGAGAACAGGGGUUCGAACCCCCUUGGGGACGCCA
rnacentral:tRNA from 2 species